rnacentral:ncRNA from 1 species
AGUAAGAAAAGGCAAACUUAGUGAAAAUUAAGGACGCAAAGCUAUCGGUCUAAGGGCCCAUACUCGUAUAUUGAGCCUAUGAUUGCGGUGCUGCCAAC